UGGGGAAUAUUGCACAAUGGGCGCAAGCCUGAUGCAGCCAUGCCGCGUGUAUGAAGAAGGCCUUCGGGUUGUAAAGUACUUUCAGCGGGGAGGAAGGUGUUGUGGUUAAUAACCACAGCAAUUGACGUUACCCGCAGAAGAAGCACCGGCUAACUCCGUGCCAGCAGCCGCGGUAAUACGGAGGGGGCAAGCGUUAAUCGGAAUUACUGGGCGUAAAGCGCACGCAGGCGGUGUGUCAAGUCGGAUGUGAAAUCCCCGGGCUCAACCUGGGAACUGCAUUCGAAACUGGCAGGCUAGAGUCUUGUAGAGGGGGGUAGAAUUCCAGGUGUAGCGGUGAAAUGCGUAGAGAUCUGGAGGAAUACCGGUGGCGAAGGCGGCCCCCUGGACAAAGACUGACGCUCAGGUGCGAAAGCGUGGGGAGCAAACA
rnacentral:rRNA from 1 species